rnacentral:pre_miRNA from 1 species
AGAUGGAGAUGUUUUGCAAUUGUCUUGAAGAGUCGACAUUGCACUCAUCUCGGUCUGA